rnacentral:rRNA from 1 species
UACGAAGGGGGCAAGCGUUGUUCGGAAUACUGGCGUAAAGCGCACGUAGGCGAGUUCUUAAGUCGGUGGUGAAAUCCUGGAGCUCAACUCCAGAACUGCCUUCGAAACUGGGAAUCUUGAGUCCGGGAGAGGUGAGUGGAACUGCGAGUGUAGAGGUGAAAUUCGUAGAUAUUCGCAAGAACACCAGUGGCGAAGGCGGCUCACUGGCCCGGUACUGACGCUGAGGUGCGAAAGCGUGGGGAGCAAACAGG